rnacentral:rRNA from 1 species
CACGUGGGUGAUCUGCCCUGCACUUCGGGAUAAGCCUGGGAAACUGGGUCUAAUACCGGAUAGGACGAUGGUUUGGAUGCCAUUGUGGAAAGUUUUUUCGGUGUGGGAUGAGCUCGCGGCCUAUCAGCUUGUUGGUGGGGUAAUGGCCUACCAAGGCGUCGACGGGUAGCCGGCCUGAGAGGGUGUACGGCCACAUUGGGACUGAGAUACGGCCCAGACUCCUACGGGAGGCAGCAGUGGGGAAUAUUGCACAAUGGGCGCAAGCCUGAUGCAGCGACGCCGCGUGGGGGAUGACGGCCUUCGGGUUGUAAACUCCUUUCGUCAGGGACGAAGCGAAAGUGACGGUACCUGGAUAAGAAGCACCGGCUAACUACGUGCCAGCAGCCGCGGUAAUACGUAGGGUGCGAGCGUUGUCCGGAAUUACUGGGCGUAAAGAGCUCGUAGGUGGUUUGUCGCGUCGUUUGUGGAAUACCGCAGCUUAACUGCGGGGUUGCAGGCGAUACGGGCAUAACUUGAGUGCUGUAGGGGAGACUGGAAUUCCUGGUGUAGCGGUGGAAUGCGCAGAUAUCAGGAGGAACACCGAUGGCGAAGGCAGGUCUCUGGGCAGUAACUGACGCUGAGGAGCGAAAGCAUGGGUAGCGAACAGGAUUAGAUACCCUGGUAGUCCAUGCCGUAAACGGUGGGCGCUAGGUGUGAGUCCCUUCCACGGGGUUCGUG